ensembl:lncRNA
CCCGACGCCCCCAGUCCCCGCUCCGAGACUCUGGGCCCCGACGCCCCCAGUCCCCGCUCCGAGAAUCAUGGCCCCGACGCCCCCAGUCCCCGCUCCGAGAAUCAUGGCCCCGACGCCCCCAGUCCCCGCUCCGAGACUCAGAUUCCCUCCCUCCCGCCCUCCCGUUGGGAAUUUGAGGGCCGUCUGGGAUCCGGCCCUUAAGGGGGGGGCUAUGGGGUGGGUUAUGGGGGGGGCUGAGCUGACGACGACUGCGGAGGUGUUCCGUGUCCCCGAGCCGACGACGACUGCGGAGGUGUUCCGUGUCCCCGAGCUGGAGCCGCCGCCGACUGCUGCGGACGUGUUCCGUGUCCCCGAGCUGGAGCCGCCGCCGACUGCUGCGGACGUGUUCCGUGUCCCCGAGCUGGAGCCGCCGCCGACUGCUGCGGACGUGUUCCGUGUCCCCGAGCUGGAGCCGCCGCCGACUGCUGCGGACGUGUUCAGUGUCCCCGAACUCGAGCCGCCGCCGACCCCCCCGGAGGGUUCCCGUGUCCCCGAGCCUGCCAUGCAAGAGACGUUCCGGAGCCGGCCAAAUGACCGUCCGCCGGGCCGACCACCGGAGGCUCCCCGGUCGCCUGGCCGCCCGCCGGGCCGCCCGCCAGAGUUUCCUGGGUGGCCCGACCAUUGUCUCUGGUUUCCCUCCCCCCCACCCCUUGUUUCGCUCUAGUGUGAGCCGCCUGGAAGUCGGCCCUUAAGGGGGGGGGGGUACUGUCACGGUGUGGUUCACUUCAUGUUAUAUUUUGUAGUUUUCUGCCACUUGUGUCCCCGGGUAACUUCACUUCCUGCCUUGUCCCGUCAUCCCCUGUGAUCGUCUUAAUAGUUUCCACCUGUGUCCAAUCACCUGCACCUACCUUGUGUAUUUAAGCCGUGUGUCUCUUGUGUCACUUGUCGCGUCAUUGUCUUUUGCCACGCAUGUUCUUGUCUCCUGUUGUGGAUCUCCGUAGGUUCAUGCCUGUGUGUUUUUGCCCCUUGGCCUUUUGGAUUUUGUAUCUGGUGACUAUUAAAGUCUUUUGUUUCGGAGAAGUCUGCAUCUGAGUCCUGCCUUCCCCCC